rnacentral:rRNA from 1 species
GACGAACGCUGGCGGCGUGCUUAACACAUGCAAGUCGAACGGUGAAGCGCCUUCCUUUUUGGUGGGUGUGGAUGAGUGGCGAACGGGUGAGUAACACGUGAGUAACCUGCCCCCUUCUUCUGGAUAACCGCAUGAAAGUGUGGCUAAUACGGGAUAUUCUGGGCCUGUCGCAUGAUGGGUCUGGGAAAGAUAUUGUUUCGGUGGGGGAUGGGCUCGCGGCCUAUCAGCUUGUUGUUGGGGUGAUGGCCUACCAAGGCGGUGACGGGUAGCCGGCCUGAGAGGGUGGACGGUCACACUGGGACUGAGACACGGCCCAGACUCCUACGGGAGGCAGCAGUGGGGAAUAUUGCACAAUGGGCGCAAGCCUGAUGCAGCGACGCCGCGUGAGGGAUGGAGGCCUUCGGGUUGUGAACCUCUUUCGCCAGUGAAGCAGGCCUGCCUCGUUUGUGGGUGGGUUGACGGUAGCUGGAUAAGAAGCGCCGGCUAACUACGUG